ACGGCUGGCAGAAGGGCGUUAGCUCGAAUUUCAGGUCAAAAAUCGAUUUUUGAUAUUUCAUGUCAUUUAAUAGAGUUUUCAAAGCUCUUUCAAAUGAUGUGAUCGAGAUGGCAUAAAACGAAGUAAAUGAUUACGUAAUCGACAAUAGUAAAAGGGCGUUAGCACAAACUGUCAGAUAUCGCGCUAAGCAGAAGGGCGUAAGCCCUCUACGCCCUUUGCAUAUUAGGCGCGAGCGUAAAUUUUGAUCAAAGCAGAAGGGCGUUAUCGCGAAGCUGACGUCUGCUAGGCCUGUGGUAAGCAAAAUAACUGCUUCUUCUUUUAAAUAACGUGUUGUAAAUGUCAAAUUAUCUGGAAGAUUUGAUAUAUUUGGUCACACUGAUUACAUUAUGAUUAGGAUCGUUAGAAUAUUUUGAUUUUAUCGGGUAAAAAUGCGAUGUAUAAUGAUGAUAAUUAAUACGUUGCCCCAUGUAUUGAUUUAUAUGGUAUCACGGGCAAGUAGAGUCAUUACGCAUUAUCAUUGACUCUCUGUGCUGGGGUGGAUGUUGAGUGGCAUUGACUCUAUGCUUUGCUGGAGUGGGUUGCAAUGGAAGCGCUCCCUUGAAGUUGAAGGCCUCCAAAUAUGAAGUAGAUCUAGGUCUAGCAACUAGCAUCAAGCCCCAAGUCAAGGGUGAUUUUCGAAAGUGCGUUCCACGCAGUUACUAGCUGUCCCGAGGGAAAACGUCAGUUCCGGUAGAGUUGGGUGCGGGAUGUGAUGUUGUUUGUGUGAGGUUGUUCAGUUAGAUCAAGAUACAUGUACAGUAUGUAGGAGUAGUCGUCAAUCUAUAGAUCUAUGUGCCGUGAUAAUCAUUUCACUGUUUUUUCGCUCAUGGAAAGACGAGACAAGACAACAAUUUGUAAAGACAGUGGUACGGAUUGAAAUUUGAAAGCAUGCUUAGCGUAGAUCUACAAAAUUAGUUAAAUAAAUGCCAGAUUGUUAGUAGUAUACCGUAUUCAGGUAUUAUUAUACCAAUUGCAACAGUGCAAGCAGAUUCUAGACUCUAGAGGUCUAAUACUUUUUAUUGUUCAAAUUAAAUUUGCAAAAAUGAUAGUAGUCUACAGAUAUGAAAGGAGAAUGGUUUGAAUUUUGAUACCUUUGUCUUUUAGUGGCUUUGUUCAAAUUUAAUCAAGGGCAAUCUCAAAUGAUAGUUGCAUGUCUAGAACUCAAGUUUCUACUUUCCGCUACAAGUAUUGGGGACGGUCAAUUGUAAAGUAGCUUGUAAGUUAGAUUAGAUCUACUUUCAGUCAAAAUUAAUGUAACCCUUUUGUUUCCCUCACUUUGUCAGGAUUUGCACAGCUAGGCUACAGCAUGGAGCAAACAAAAGAAUUGCUUGUUCAGUGGAAAAAAGAUGGCUCCAAAAACCGUGGUAGUGUAUGGAGAUAUAUUCAAUGUCCCUGUAAUCCAAUAAAAGGGACAAAAGUCUUCAUGCCUUGGAAAGGCAGGAGAUGGGAGGGAGUUGUCCUGUCAGUGGAUGAUGAGUCUGAGGAAAGUGAUGAUGACAGCAUACCAGAUCAACCAAGGCUUGACGUUGGAGAUGUCGGUGUCGGUGUCAGAAUGACAGACCAUGGACCUCUACCAGAUCAACCAAGGCUUGACGUUGGAGAUGUCGGGUCACAAUGACAGACAUGCCUCAUUGAAGUUCAAAUGUGUCAACAUUUCAUAUGUUUACAUGAAGUGUUUAGUACAUGCUCCCAGUGUCUUGUUUCCCUGUGUGAACACCACUUCAAAGAGGACAACCCAUGUGCAAACCACAAUAACUAUGCUCAUCUACUUCAAAUUCCGGAGAGGUUUUCAGAAGAUCAUCCAGCGAUCGACACAGUUCUGGAAUUGAUGACGGUUGUUCCCUUAGCAAUCGAAGUGCAGGAGACAGUUGACAUAGUUUCAAGUUAUCCAAGCAGACAGUGAAGGUAGUACUGAAAAAUAUUAAUGUCUCAAAUGUCACCAAUUUGAGUUUGUAGUUUACAGUGGGCAUUGUCUUUAGGAAUUAUAAGUCAGUUUGUUGCAAUUAUGCUGUUGCAGACACCUCUACAAUAUUCAUUAAUCAAAACAACAACCUCUUAAGCUAACUUUUGAACCAUUUAUUUCUCCUACAAUAUUUACUUCAAAAAUGGGUUUUACAUUUCUAUGUCAUAAAGUUUAUUCUUGUGUACUUUACAGAGAGUGGCUUCUACACAGAGAUAUUGGAGAACGUCCUGAACAAAGUGAGGUAAAAGUCUGAAGCUUUAAAAUGGUUGCCUGUUACAAAUUCUGCCAAGGGAGUGGAGAAUUUUCUUUGAAAAAGAUAAAUGUAUUUUAGUUGUACCAGAAAAUGGCUGGUGUACAUCUCUUUAGACAGAGUAAAUGGAAUAAUUGCUCUGCUUCCCUCUGAUGGAGGGGUUCUGGGAUAAAUGACCAUGCAGACGUACUGCAAUUCUCUUCUUUCUCCUCCCAUCUCUCUUUCUCUCUCUCUCUCUUUCACUCCCUUAUUUCUUGAUGAUGGCUGGGUUUAAAGGUGGGGUAAGGGGAGAGAGUGAAUGUAUUGGUUCAUUAAAUCAAGGCAAGAGAGGAGAAGCAAAAGGAGAGAAGCAUGUCAGUCAGAUUGCAAGGUUACAGUCAUUUACAUUGACUUGCUGCAGUGUUGACUCCUUCAUCCUUCACCAGUACUUUUACUUUUAUAGAAUUUUGCACUCUGUACAGUUCAAAGCAUGAAUAUGUUAAACUAAUAUUUUGUCCACCACUUUUAUAUUUUUUAUUCUAAUACAGAAUAAGAGAGCCAGGAAACGUAUUGCAGAUCCCAACAGCUGCUAAAGUUUCACUUAUUGUCAUACUUUUUUGUAUCGCCUUUGAUAAUGCUGAAAUAUUUUUGAAGUAUUUUCUCUUUUGUUAACUUACUGCACAGUACGUUAACUGCAGAAUACACAAAGUUCUUUUAAGAGCUACCAUGUUGUACUUUCUGCCAUAAACGUGUGCUACAGUUUCACUUAUUGUCAUACUUUUUUUUUUAUAUCGCCUUUGAUAAUGCUGAAAUAUUGUUCAAGUAUUUUCUCGUAUGUUAACCUACUGCACAGUACGUUAACUGCAGAAUACACAAAGUUAUUUUAAGAGCUACCAUGUUGUAAUUUCUGCCAUGAACAUGUGCUACAGUUUCACUUAUUGUCAUACAAUUUUGUUUAUUUGCCUUUGAUAAUGCUGAUAUAUUGUUCAAGUAUUUUCUCUUUUGUAAACUUACUGCACAGUUUUUAAAACUAUGCUACAAAAGCUCACUAGAGCUAGAACAGAUUCAACGCAGAAUACAAAACUUUCUUUUGAGAGCUACCAUGUUGUUCUUUCUGCCAUGAGCAUGUGCUACAGAUAAGUUCCAAUUUUUAUAUUUAAUCAUGAUUCAUUAUGAUUGAUUAAUUUUGAAUGAUUGUACAUGGAAUUGUAAAAUGAACUGUACAAAAAGGAUUCCAGUUAUAUUGCAAAGAAAUAAAUUCAGUCAUUACCAUGACAGAAGUGUUCAUCUUAA